AGAGAGAGAGAGAGAAGGAUCUUAAUUUAGCAUUAAAAAGCUCGAUUUGCACAGGCUAAAGUAGAAUGCCAGAUUUAUGCUUGCUUUUAAUGUUAGUGGCUAUAAUUAAUGUUCAUAUGGCUAAUUAUAUGCUGCUCUUUAUAAGAAUAAUAAAGAAGAAAGAGAAUCAGGUCAGCGCUCUAUUGCAGCUGGAGCGCAAUGCAGAAGAUGCGCCAGAGUGGCUCCUUACAUUUGGAAUCAGCAUAGGAUCAUGAAAUAAACAUAGGUUGGAAUGUUAGCUAAAUGGCUUUCUAUUUCUUCACAAUUUUGCAGAUUUGUGUUGGACACAGACUCUUCAAGGUUGCGGAUUUGUUCCUCCACUGGUAGCAGAUGAUGCAUGGUAGCAUCAAUUAUCUCUACUCCUUUGAGAAGGCUUAAGCAUUUUGCAAAUGCAGCGAGUCAUUCAUUAUGCUUGACAAGUAACAAAUUUGAUGGAAGUAUUUGUUGGUGUAGCUUGAUGUAAACUCACCUGUCGAGGGUAAUUCUCAGGCUUAUGCUCUCCUUAAUGUGGAACUGGUUCAUUCAAAUUGAAAUGAGCUGUACCUGAUUAAAGUUCUCACUAAAAGUUGAGAGAGUACUUUGCAAAUGUUUUUGUAGGCAUUAAUCCACUAAUAAUAGUUGGGUCUAUUUUAGCUUUGUUAGGUUUAAUUUUAUGGAUCUAUUUGUUAUUGUUGUUUGAGGUGUUGUUGAGAACAAUUAAAAAUUAUUUUUAUAUUAAA
rnacentral:misc_RNA from 1 species